ACCACGCUACAACCGCUCGGAACUGGGUCAAGUAUUUAUCUUCGGAUAGAUCUCCUGUGAUGGCGAGUCUUAGUAUAUGA
rfam:Listeria floridensis FSL S10-1187 c5p2, whole genome shotgun sequence.